AGCGGCGGACGCCUGAGUAACACGUGGGUAACCUGCCCAUAAGACUGGGAUAACUCCGGGAAACCGGGGCUAAUACCGGAUAAUAUUUUGAACCGCAUGGUUCGAAAUUGAAAGGCGGCUUCGGCUGUCACUUAUGGAUGGACCCGCGUCGCAUUAGCUAGUUGGUGAGGUAACGGCUCACCAAGGCAACGAUGCGUAGCCGACCUGAGAGGGUGAUCGGCCACACUGGGACUGAGACACGGCCCAGACUCCUACGGGAGGCAGCAGUAGGGAAUCUUCCGCAAUGGACGAAAGUCUGACGGAGCAACGCCGCGUGAGUGAUGAAGGCUUUCGGGUCGUAAAACUCUGUUGUUAGGGAAGAACAAGUGCUAGUUGAAUAAGCUGGCACCUUGACGGUACCUAACCAGAAAGCCACGGCUAACUACGUGCCAGCAGCCGCGGUAAUACGUAGGUGGCAAGCGUUAUCCGGAAUUAUUGGGCGUAAAGCGCGCGCAGGUGGUUUCUUAAGUCUGAUGUGAAAGCCCACGGCUCAACCGUGGAGGGUCAUUGGAAACUGGGAGACUUGAGUGCAGAA
rnacentral:rRNA from 2 species